UUUCUUGAUUCUCUUCUCAAAGAAAUCCAGCAACCCCCUUUCGCUCUCUUUCUUUUUGGUGAGUGUCCAACUCUUGGGCGUGGACCUAACAACUUGAGCAUCCCAACCACUUGGGGCAUGAGGUACGUAGGUGAGAAAGAGAUGGUCGUGAAACAAUAGGAGGCAUGAAGGAUAAGAGAGGCACCCUCCUUGUGCGUGAAACCCCCUUUUCACAUUAUUCUCUUGUGACGCCCAUCUCUUGGGCAUGAAAGAUUUGGGGCAGGG
rnacentral:lncRNA from 1 species